rnacentral:piRNA from 1 species
CCAGUGCAUGUGCUUGGGAGAAAGAGC